UCGCUGGAGGAUGAAUUUCCACUUUGCGUUUGUGUUAUAAACAGACAAAAGAUGGAGUAACAAGCCAAGUAUUCCAGUGAGGCAGCAAAAUCGAAGGGUCAACAACAGCUAUCAGAGAGUAUUCCAGGAAAUAAAUGAACAUCAGACUUUACACAUCAAGGUGUACUAUAACGCGGAAUGGGAAUUGAGACUCUUGGAAAAUAGGAAAGAAAAAAACCAGCCUGCGUGAAAAAUUGCUGCUUUCCUUCUACAUCUGCAAAUGUUCCUCUUCAAGGGAGAUGCAAGGUAAAGAGCUCACAGCUCAACUCCUCUGGACAGCGAAAGGCAAGAAGGUAAAGGUAAGAGAGUUUCUUCAGACCUCUAACGUACAGCUUUGUAUAGUUCUUUGAAAUACUUUUAAUAGAAGUGUCACAUGCCUCUGAGAUUUUAAAGCAGUAUCAUUGCUGUAGCCAACAUCUGUCAUUAAUUUUCCUGCUUCUCGGAGUUGGACAUAAGUAUCUGACACAAAAAGGUUUAACUCAUUAACUUUGGGUUAACCGGUUUCAUGUAAUAAGCUGAUCUU
rnacentral:lncRNA from 1 species